UCCAGACUCCUACGGGAGGCAGCAGUAGGGAAUAUUGCACAAUGGGGGAAACCCUGAUGCAGCGACGCCGCGUGAGUGAAGAAGUAUUUCGGUAUGUAAAGCUCUAUCAGCAGGGAAGAAGAAAGACGGUACCUGACUAAGAAGCCCCGGCUAACUACGUGCCAGCAGCCGCGGUAAUACGUAGGGGGCAAGCGUUAUCCGGAUUUACUGGGUGUAAAGGGGGCGCAGACGGCAGCGCAAGCCAGGAGUGAAAGCCCGGGGCCCAACCCCGGGACUGCUCUUGGAACUGCGCGGCUGGAGUGCAGGAGGGGCAGGCGGAAUUCCUGGUGUAGCGGUGAAAUGCGUAGAUAUCAGGAGGAACACCGGUGGCGAAGGCGGCCUGCUGGACGAUGACUGACGUUGAGGCUCGAAAGCGUGGGGAGCAAACAGGAUUAGAUACCCGAGUA
rnacentral:rRNA from 1 species